GAUGAACGCUGGCGGCGUGCCUAAUACAUGCAAGUCGAGCGAACGGACGAGAAGCUUGCUUUUCUGAUGUUAGCGGCGGACGGGUGAGUAACACGUGGAUAACCUACCUAUAAGACUGGGAUAACUUCGGGAAACCGGAGCUAAUACCGGAUAAUAUUUUGAACCGCAUGGUUCAAAAGUGAAAGACGGUCUUGCUGUCACUUAUAGAUGGAUCCGCGCUGCAUUAGCUAGUUGGUAAGGUAACGGCUUACCAAGGCAACGAUGCAUAGCCGACCUGAGGGGGUGAUCGGCCACACUGGAACUGAGACACGGUCCAGACUCCUACGGGAGGCAGCAGUAGGGAAUCUUCCGCAAUGGGCGAAAGCCUGACGGAGCAACGCCGCGUGAGUGAUGAAGGUCUUCGGAUCGUAAAACUCUGUUAUUAGGGAAGAACAUAUGUGUAAGUAACUGUGCACAUCUUGACGGUACCUAAUCAGAAAGCCACGGCUAACUACGUGCCAGCAGCCGCGGUAAUACGUAGGUGGCAAGCGUUAUCCGGAAUUAUUGGGCGUAAAGCGCGCGUAGGCGGUUUUUUAAGUCUGAUGUGAAAGCCCACGGCUCAACCGUGGAGGGUCAUUGGAAACUGGAAAACUUGAGUGCAGAAGAGGAAAGUGGAAUUCCAUGUGUAGCGGUGAAAUGCGCAGAGAUGUGGAGGAACACCAGUGGCGAAGGCGACUUUCUGGUCUGUAACUGACGCUGAUGUGCGAAAGCGUGGGGAUCAAACAGGAUUAGAUACCCUGGUAGUCCACGCCGUAAACGAUGAGUGCUAAGUGUUAGGGGGUUUCCGCCCCUUAGUGCUGCAGCUAACGCAUUAAGCACUCCGCCUGGGGAGUACGACCGCAAGGUUGAAACUCAAAGGAAUUGACGGGGGCCCGCACAAGCGGUGGAGCAUGUGGCUUAAUUCGAAGCAACGCGAAGAACCUUACCAAAUCUUGACAUCCUUUGACAACUCUAGAGAUAGAGCCUUCCCCUUCGGGGGACAAAGUGACAGGUGGUGCAUGGUUGUCGUCAGCUCGUGUCGUGAGAUGUUGGGUUAAGUCCCGCAACGAGCGCAACCCUUAAGCUUAGUUGCCAUCAUUAAGUUGGGCACUCUAAGUUGACUGCCGGUGACAAACCGGAGGAAGGUGGGGAUGACGUCAAAUCAUCAUGCCCCUUAUGAUUUGGGCUACACACGUGCUACAAUGGACAAUACAAAGGGCAGCGAAGCCGCGAGGUCAAGCAAAUCCCACAAAGUUGUUCUCAGUUCGGGUUGUAGUCUGCAACUCGACUACAUGAAGCUGGAAUCGCUAGUAAUCGUAGAUCAGCAUGCUACGGUGAAUACGUUCCCGGGUCU
rnacentral:rRNA from 1 species